AACAAAUAGAAAAUGACGUUCAAGAACCAAUAAAAUAAACACCAGUCUGGCUAGUAUUUUCAAUUGCGCCCUAUGAAACUAUACUACAAAUGCUAUAAGCCAACUGUGUAGUAACAUAUGAUCUUAAAUAUUAUACAGUAUGUUCAAUUACUCUACCAUCUAUCUAUAAACUACUAUUAAUCCCCAUGGCCUUAUGCUGAUGUGGCCUAACCCCCUUAAUUUUAUAAUUAUUUUUAAAAAAAUUGACUAGAUUCUUUUUUUUUCUUUUUGUUUUGGGGAAAGAUGGACAGUCAUCUCUUUACAUUUGGGCGUAUGUGCCCCACCGAGAAGAUGGACCGUCAUCUCUUUAAUUUAGGAGUGUGCGCCCCACCGAGAAAAUGGACCGUCAUCUCUGUCUUUUUUUUUUCCUUUUACUAUACCUCUCUCUUUAUUUCUCUCUUCUUCUUCAUGUUAUCGUUCUUUUUUUAGUUUUUUGGAUUUUGUUCUCACGUGCUUUCAUUUUCUUUCUUUGAUCAGGGUCUUGAGCUCUCCAUACCUACAACACCUGCCAUCCUCUACCCACGUACAUGGCAGGAGCAGAUUUUUUGACGGAUCGGGGCGGAUUUAAGGAAGAAAAGGGUCUCCCGCCUCCCGCUCCAUUUACUUGGCGGAUCGGGACGGAUUCGGAGCGGGUUAUAUUUUUCUAUAUUUUUUGUUCCGACUUACCACCCUAUUCGGGUGGAUCGGGGCGAGAGCUCCACCAACCUAGAUCCAUUUGCAUCCCUAAAUCUACUUUAUUCACAAUAAAUAAGCUAUAUUAUUUCAUCAACAGUAUAUAAAAGCAAUAUUCCCCACCGAUCUUUUUAAUUACUUUUUCUCAAAUUGACUGGAUUUUUUUCCCCUUUUUUCUCCAUUUUUUUUUUUGUUGACUGAAGAUGGACUGUCAUCGUUAUGAAUGCUACCCGUUGUCCAAUGCUUUGUCGUUU